rnacentral:rRNA from 1 species
UACGUAGGGUGCGAGCGUUAAUCGGAAUUACUGGGCGUAAAGCGUGCGCAGGCGGUUAUGCAAGACAGAUGUGAAAUCCCCGGGCUUAACCUGGGAACUGCAUUUGUGACUGCAUGGCUAGAGUACGGUAGAGGGGGAGGGAAUUCCGCGUGUAGCAGUGAAAUGCGUAGAUAUGCGGAGGAACACCGAUGGCGAAGGCAAUCCCCCGGGCCUGCACUGACGCUCAUGCACGAAAGCGUGGGGAGCAAACAGG